rnacentral:rRNA from 1 species
CACCGCCCGUCACCAUCACGAAAGUGGAUUGCCACUAGAAGUCCGCGCACCAACCGCAAGGGGUAGCGGCCCAAGGUGUGAUUCAUGAUUGGGUG